rnacentral:lncRNA from 1 species
AUGUGGUCACAUAGGAAGUUAUGUAUAUUUAACAGGGUAUAUCAGCAAGGUUUUUUUAUAGAAGGGCAGUGCAGAUAUCAGGUAGUCAGUAGUCAUACUGGACAUUAUGAGUUUUCUAUCAUUUUUAUUGUUAUCAUUACUAUGCAACUUUGGAGAGUUUAUGUAACUUCUUCAGGCCUCAGUUUCCUCAUCUCUAACAGGCGGACAGUGGAGACUACCUGGAAGGUUAUACUGAGAACUGGAAAUGACAGAUCGCUCCUCAGCCUUUUGGCUAAGAGCAAGUGUAGAAACGACAGAAAGCAUCUGGAGCAUAGUAGGUGCUCAAGAAACAGUGAGAGGAGGUUCUUGCUCUCCCUUUGGUUCCUUUCCUUCACUUUUUCUCCUUCAAAUACCUGCCUCACUUUCCCCUCCUUUUUAGUUUUAGAGUAUAUGGAGACAUCUGGAAAGCCUGGAAGAAAUGAUAAUUUUAGUUUCAAAUUCAGUCAUUUUUUCUCUUCAUCCUGUCAGACAGUUUAUGUUUUCUCUGUGAUUAGGUGGUAUGGUUUGUGA